rnacentral:rRNA from 1 species
UACGUAGGGUGCAAGCGUUAAUCGGAAUUACUGGGCGUAAAGCGUGCGCAGGCGGUUAUUUAAGUCAGAUGUGAAAUCCCCGGGCUCAACCUGGGAACUGCAUCUGAGACUGUAUGGCUAGAGUGUGUCAGAGGGGGGUAGAAUUCCACGUGUAGCAGUGAAAUGCGUAGAUAUGUGGAGGAAUACCGAUGGCGAAGGCAGCCCCCUGGGAUAACACUGACGCUCAUGCACGAAAGCGUGGGGAGCAAACAGG